rnacentral:rRNA from 1 species
CCUACGGGAGGCAGCAGUGAGGAAUAUUGGUCAAUGGACGAGAGUCUGAACCAGCCAAGUAGCGUGAAGGAUGACUGCCCUAUGGGUUGUAAACUUCUUUUAUAUGGGAAUAAAACGUUCCACGUGUGGGAUUUUGUAUGUACCAUAUGAAUAAGGAUCGGCUAACUCCGUGCCAGCAGCCGCGGUAAUACGGAGGUUCCGAGCGUUAUCCGGAUUUAUUGGGUUUAAAGGGAGCGUAGGUGGAUUGUUAAGUCAGUUGUGAAAGUUUGCGGCUCAACCGUAAAAUUGCAGUUGAAACUGGCAGUCUUGAGUACAGUAGAGGUGUGCGGAAUUCGUGGUGUAGCGGUGAAAUGCUUAGAUAUCACGAAGAACUCCGAUUGCGAAGGCAGUUCACUGGACUGCAACUGACACUGAGGCUCGAAAGUGUGGGUAUCAAACAGGAUUAGAUACCCGGGUAGUC